rnacentral:misc_RNA from 1 species
GAUGAAGAACGUAGCAAAAUGCGAUAAGUAAUGUGAAUUGCAGAAUUCAGUGAAUCAUCGAAUCUUUGAACGCACAUUGCGCCCGCUGGUAUUCCGGCGGGCAUGCCUGUUCGAGCGUCAUUUCAACCCUCAAGCCCCCGGGUUUGGUGUUGGGGAUCGGCUCUGCCCUUCUGGGCGGUGCCACCCCCGAAAUACAUUGGCGGUCUCGCUACAGCCUCCAUUGCGUAGUAGCUAACACCUCGCAACUGGAACGCGGCGCGGCCAUGCCGUAAAACCCCAACUUCUGAAUGUUGACCUCGGAUCAGGUAGGAAUACCCGCUGAACUUAAGCAUAUCAAUAAGCGGAGGA